UGAGUGAAAAGCAGGCUUCCUGAAGCUGUGAAAGGGAACAGGGCCCACUCAGGCACUUCACCACCAACACCUGUGAAGGUACUGGUUAUUACAACAGCCCACCACAGCUUGUUAAAAAGCUGUAACUACUUGCCUGACUGCUCCACCGGGGAGGAAAAAAGGGAGGAGAAGAGGAGGGGAUUAUGCUUCUCCUGAGUGCUUCUCCUGGGCUCUGCCUGAGGAAAACUGUUGGAUGGAGAUGGCCAAGGAAAGCUGUCUUUUGAAGGAGAGGGAGGAAUGCUGUAAAAGCAAAGAGCAUAUAUGCCAUGUGAUGAAAAAAACACUUCUCUGAGUUUCAAGGCACUGGUCCAGAGAGGGCUGAUAAACCUGUGGCAACCUGGGAAGCUGCUGACAGUUGCUGGACUGGAAGAAAAGGUCUGCUCUGCAGGAAUGCAGAGGAAGACUCUAAGUACACCAUCAUCAGAUACUUUCAUAUAAGGAUUACUGAUUAAUGCUCCUUACUGUAACGGAUAGAAACGGCUUAUGUCUGCUAAUGGACUUCCAAAUAUUCCCAAAGAGUGGUUGUUGAGACACACUCAAGUUUUGCAUUCAGAAGGUAAUGGUGUGAUAGUAAAAGAAAACUAAAUUGGACUGAUGGAAAUACUUUGUCACAGUGUCUUAAAUCCAAAUCACCUACUGGGUUUCUAUUCUGCUUCUGAUGUUUGCUAGAUAAUGAAGGAUUGACUUUUAACAUUUAUUAUAACUGUGUUACAGUUAUGGCUGAGAAAACACUCUCGUGGUAACACCUUCCAUUCAGCUGCAUAAAACUUUGUGACAAAAUUGCCAUUUGGGCUCAAAUUACUUAUGCUUGUUCUCCUCCCAGAAAUACUUUUUUUUCUUUUUUUUUUUUUUUUUUUUUUUGGAAGUAAUACAAUACUCUUUGGUGAUGGUGAGAUAAGCACACUUAAAGAAAAAAAAAAAAAAGUGGUGCGGAGGGAAUUUUUUUUUUUCAAAGUGUGAUUCUUUGAUCAUUAAGAAAUGACUAAGAGUUGCAACUUCAAAUUUGCUGGCUUUCAUACCUAAGGCAGGUGUUUGGAAAAGUGUAAUUGAAUAGGAAUAUCAGAACAAGGUUUUCAAUUCUGUUUACCUUUUCAAGGGAAUCUUGAGUCAUUCUGCAAUAACAUAUUCAGGGUAUUUGAGCAUAUUUGUGUUGUGCAGGAAAUAGCACAUUCCAUUUGUUUGCAGAGGAGUGUGUAGCUAACAACCUAUUUUGUUCAUGUAAAUACAUGUUUACUCUUAUGUAAAGGUACACACUAUAACAUAGUUAGAGUGCCGUAGGAAAAAAUGGCCCUUGGUAUUUAUUCUCUUGCUUCUCUUUUCCUUCCAAUAGCUUAUAAUGAGAAGGAAUCCAAAUUCAGCACUGAACAACAAGAAUUUAAAGUUCAUUGUGAUGGAUGUUGCUUUCUAAUAUGAAUCACGUUGCCUGUAUAAAUCUUAGAAAAAAAAAAAAGCAUUAUGUCAAUGAAUUUUCAUGUGCGCAAUUAAAGGUGUAAGUAAAUCAGUGGGACUGA